GCGCGAACACUUUACAAUGCGGGAAACCGCGAUAAGGGAACCCUGAGUGCCAGCACCAAGUGUUGGCUGUCCAGAUGAUUAAAGAUCAUUUGUUAGCAAGGGCCGGGCAAGACCGGUGCCAGCCGCCGCGGUAACACCGGCGGCCCGAGUGGUAACCGUUUUUAUUGGGUCUAAAGGGUCCGUAGCCGGUUUGAUAAGUCUUUUGGGAAAUCUGGCAGCUUAACUGUCAGGCUUCCAAGAGAUACUGUCAGGCUUGGGACCGGGAGAGGUAAGGGGUACUCCAGGGGUAGGAGUGAAAUCUUGUAAUCCUUGGGGGACCAUCUGUGGCGAAGGCGUCUUACCAGAACGGGUCCGACGGUGAGGGACGAAAGCUAGGGGAGCAAACCGGAUUAGAUACCCGGGUAGUCCUAGCUGUAAACGAUGCUCGCUAGGUGUCAGGCACGGUGCGACCGUGUCUGGUGCCGCAGGGAAGCCGUGAAGCGAGCCACCUGGGAAGUACGGUCGCAAGGCUGAAACUUAAAGGAAUUGGCGGGGGA
rnacentral:rRNA from 1 species